UACGUAGGGGGCAAGCGUUGUCCGGAUUUAUUGGGCGUAAAGAGCGUGUAGGCGGCUUGGUAGGUCCGCUGUGAAAACUCGAGGCUCAACCUCGAGAUGUCGGCGGAAACCACUUGGCUAGAGUCCGGAAGAGGAGAGUGGAAUUCCUGGUGUAGCGGUGAAAUGCGUAGAUAUCGGAAGGAACGCCGGUGGCGAAAGCGGCACGCUGGAUCCCUCCUGACGCUGAGGCGCGAAAGCCAGGGGAGCAAACGGG
rnacentral:rRNA from 1 species